rnacentral:lncRNA from 1 species
GUUAGAACCCCGCGAGGCAGGGUGAGGGGCGCCACCGAGGAAGCGCCCACCGGGCUCCCGGGGCUGCCAGGCCCCAAAUUGAGGAAGUUGACUGCCAGAUCACACUCUGUUGGCCCACGCAGAUAGAUUCCAUUCAUCCUUUCUAAUGUCUACACCAUAUUUUGGAUAACAUGCCAUCAUCUCACAUUGUGUUGAAAGAAGAAACCAGAAUGUUGGGGUUGAUGUAUGCCAUAUGGAUGAAUUUAAACAGUUUCGGCCUUGCAAUAAUUGGUAUACUUCUAAUUGCAUGUGAAAUUAUACUCUUUUUAACGAAAGAUGAAACUAUUCAGUGGCCACAUGUACCCAGUAACAGAGGGAGCAAAGCAAAUCUUAUCCUCAAAGAACUGCAGCUGCUUGUUAGAUCUACCUGGUGGUUCCAUAGAGAAACUGCUCAGAGAACCUGCCUUUACCUCGCCUAAAACAGAACUAUCCCGGAGCUCAGCAAAGGAGUCCAUUCAUCCUCUAUAACUGCUAUACAAUAUCUCUGUUAAAAUGCUGAGAAGAUUUAUCCUAAAAGAAGGCACCAAAGCAAUGGGGGCUGUGCAAAUAAUGAUUGGCCUGAUUCACAGUGCACUGGGAACUCUCUGAAUUCAUUGGAUUUUGCUAAGAGAGGAUUCAAGUGGUUCUGGUCCUAUCCCUAUAAUUGCUGUAGUAAUUUACUCAUUUUUGUCAUUAUUUUUUUUCAUCAACUCAGGAUCCAGUAGUGUAAUACAGAAGCCUGUUACGAGAUAUAAGGCACUUUGCCCUCGGAAAUCUCACUGUCGGAAUCCUUGGAAAUCACACCACGCACAACUUCUAUUUCUUCAUAAUUUGCAAAGAACCAGUGUGACUCCAGUCAAGAACAAAAGAUUAAUUGUGAAUUAGCGAAGAACUCUAAUUUUUUCAAGCAGCCACAUGGAAAACGCAUUCUAAUGAAAUCCUUUCCAUUGCUCUUUUUUCUUAGUUCUUCAAUAAAGCAUGCGAUUUGAUCACAAAUUGACUCUUCCCUUUUUAAAAGCCAGUAUGGGUUAACACGGAUAAAUAUAGCCCCUGCAAUCCCUGUGGUUGAAGGGAUGUAGGAGAGUAGUGUUGAAUGCCCACUUUAUCUUAGGUUGGAGGAGAUUGGCUUGAAUUAAGGAACUCC